rfam:Fictibacillus enclensis strain NIO-1003 genomic scaffold Scaffold7, whole genome shotgun sequence.
AUAAAUAUCUAUGUCAUGCCGUAGACAGCAGGGGCUUUAUGCUUAAUCAUCCUGCCGAGGUGUGUAGCACAGAAUACAUCAAUUUUUAAUUGCUUGAUUUCUGAAACUACGCCUUCAUGUCUAACAUGAAGGCUUUUCUUAUGGCUAC